AUUGAACGCUGGCGGCAGGCCUAACACAUGCAAGUCGAACGGUAACAGGAAGAAGCUUGCUUCUUUGCUGACGAGUGGCGGACGGGUGAGUAAUGUCUGGGAAACUGCCUGAUGGAGGGGGAUAACUACUGGAAACGGUAGCUAAUACCGCAUAACGUCGCAAGACCAAAGAGGGGGACCUUCGGGCCUCUUGCCAUCGGAUGUGCCCAGAUGGGAUUAGCUAGUAGGUGGGGUAACGGCUCACCUAGGCGACGAUCCCUAGCUGGUCUGAGAGGAUGACAGGCCGCACUGGAGCUGGGACGCGGACCAGACGCCUACGGGAGGCAGCAGUGGGGAAUAUGGCACAAUGGGCGCAAGCCUGAUGCAGCCGUGCCGCGUGUAUGAAGGAGGCCUUCGGGGUGUAAAGUACGUUCAGCGGGGGGGAAGGGAGUAAGGUUGAUACCUUGGCUCAUUGACGUUACCCGCAGAAGAAGCACCGGCUAACUCCGUG
rnacentral:rRNA from 1 species